UACGUAGGGUGCAAGCGUUGUCCGGAAUUAUUGGGCGUAAAGAGCUCGUAGGCGGUUUGUCGCGUCGAAUGUGAAAACCCGGGGCUCAACUCCGGGCCUGCAUUCGAUACGGGCAGACUAGAGUUCGGUAGGGGAGACUGGAAUUCCUGGUGUAGCGGUGGAAUGCGCAGAUAUCAGGAGGAACACCGAUGGCGAAGGCAGGUCUCUGGGCCAUAACUGACGCUGAGAAGCGAAAGCAUGGGGAGCGAACAGG
rnacentral:rRNA from 1 species